AUUGAACACUGGCGGCAGGCUUAACACAUGCAAGUCGAGCGGAGAUGAGGUGCUUGCACCUUAUCUUAGCGGCGGACGGGUGAGUAAUGCUUAGGAAUCUGCCUAUUAGUGGGGGACAACAUUCCGAAAGGAAUGCUAAUACCGCAUACGUCCUACGGGAGAAAGCAGGGGAUCUUCGGACCUUGCGCUAAUAGAUGAGCCUAAGUCGGAUUAGCUAGUUGGUGGGGUAAAGGCCUACCAAGGCGACGAUCUGUAGCGGGUCUGAGAGGAUGAUCCGCCACACUGGGACUGAGACACGGCCCAGACUCCUACGGGAGGCAGCAGUGGGGAAUAUUGGACAAUGGGGGAAACCCUGAUCCAGCCAUGCCGCGUGUGUGAAGAAGGCCUUAUGGUUGUAAAGCACUUUAAGCGGGGAGGAGGCUACUGAGACUAAUACUCUUGGAUAGUGGACGUUACUCGCAGAAUAAGCACCGGCUAACUCUGUGCCAGCCGCCGCAGUAA
rnacentral:rRNA from 1 species